CCUGUUUUAGCAACUUUUGAGAAAGCAGUAUUCCUCGCUCAACAAAAAUCAACGUACUUUGAGCUAGAUUUAGAGUCACGUAUCAAUUGAGACACAUAUACUUCAUAUGCUGGUGCCGCUUUUUCAAAUUCAUAAAUAUAUAUGAUUUGGCAACCACCGUUCUACAUGUAAUGGACGCUUUAGAAACCUAUUUUAUAGAACACAGCAGAAAUGUGUAGAAAUGCUCUCUUCAGUUGGACUACCUACAUCAAAUGUAUUUCUUUCUAAGCAAUGUUUUGUUGUCCUAAUAAAAUGAAGCAAAUGCAUUGGUAUGCAAUGCUAGUACGAUAAGUACAGAAUAAAAUGAAAACUCAAACGGUUUUGAAAUAAUAGGCUUGGUCCUUAAUAUGCAAGAUGCAUAUAUAGUUACAAUGUAGAACAUAAAGUUGUUUAAUGACUCUAUCAAGGGUAUUGGGAAAGAUAAUGUUUGCUGUUUUUUCUACAAAAAACGAAAGACAUGGCUAAUUCUUAAUCUAAGAGCUUGCUAAAAUUAAUAAAUAAAAAUGCGUAUGGUUUCGAUUUCUGAACGCAAUAUACGGUCACCAAUCUAAAAAGUUCAUGCUCGUGUCAAUUUCUUUAUUCCAGUCAAAUGUGUUCCACGAUUCUUACGCUUUUGGGUUUCAUUCACAGUCCAAAUUUCUUGACACAAAGUCAUUGUAUAAAUAAAAUAGAUCGAAG
rnacentral:lncRNA from 1 species